rnacentral:lncRNA from 1 species
AUGAAUUAUACAGUAACCAUAUUCAUGUAGGUUAUGAGUGUUGCGAUUGUGACUCUUCGACCUAUCCAGACAUCAGGUACCAUUGCUAGAUGGUCACUUCGAUUAGUACAGGAAUUGAUUCCUGUGCUACCGGCUUAGGUUCGAACCUGCGGGGUCACACAUAUUAGAGGUUCCUAUCUGAUCUGAUGGAUGAUGUAGAAUCCUACACGUUUGAGACUCAGUGAUCAAGAAUCAGGAUUCUCUGAUCAUGAGUUCCACACAUUAUGGGUACCGGGGUCAAGAGUCCCACUGGUUGGGAUUUUUCGAUCAGGGUUACAUAUAGAUGAAUUCUGAUGCCUGAUUGCCCAUCGGAUUUAGACUCAGUAUUUAUGAGAG